rnacentral:rRNA from 1 species
GAACCGCGUGAAGGAUCAUUACUGAGAGGGGUUUUCGGACCCCGGGGGCCCCGGCCCCCAUCUCUUCACCCUAUGUUUACGUACCUUCGUUGCUUUGGCGGGUCUUGGGGCUCGCCCCAUACCGGCUACGAGCCUAGUGCUCCGGUCGGCCCGUGCUCGCCAGAGGCCCAUCAAAUUCUGUUCAUCAGUGACGUCCGAGCAAAAACACAAUAGUAAAAAACUUUCAACAACGGAUCUCUUGGUUCUGGCAUCGAUGAAGAACGCAGCGAAAUGCGAUAAGUAAUGUGAAUUGCAGAAUUCAGUGAAUCAUCGAAUCUUUGAACGCACAUUGCGCCCCUCGGUAUUCCGGGGGGCAUGCCUGUUCGAGCGUCAUUGCACCCCUCAAGCUCAGCUUGGUAUUGGGUCUUCGCCCCCGCGGCGGGCCCGAAAGUCAGCGGCGGUCUGGCGUGACUUCGAGCGUAGUAAAUCUUCUCCCGCUUCGGAAGCUCGCGCUGCGGCCGGCCAUCAACGCCCAAAUCUUUCAAUGAUUGACCUCGGAUCAGGUAGGGAUACCCGCUGAACUUAA